AUAGGUUUUGAAUAUUUUAUAUUUAAAUUAAAAAGGAAUCAGGUGUAAAACCUGGACGGUCCCGCCGCCGUAAUGUGGAGGAUAAGCAUAAAGUCACUGGGAAACUGGGAAGACGCUUAAACAAAGAAACAGAGUCGGAAUACUUGCCUAUAUCUA
rnacentral:ncRNA from 1 species